AUUGAACGCUGGCGGCAGGCCUAACACAUGCAAGUCGAGCGAGCGGCGGACGGGUGAGUAAUGUCUGGGAAACUGCCUGAUGGAGGGGGAUAACUACUGGAAACGGUAGCUAAUACCGCAUACCAUCAGAUGUUCCCAGAUGGGAGUAGCUAGUAGGUGGGGUAACGGCUCACCUAGGCGACGAUCCCUAGCUGGUCUGAGAGGAUGACCAGCCACACUGGAACGGGGACACGGUCCAGACGCCUACGGGAGGCAGCAGUGGGGAAUAUUGCACAAUGGGCGCAAGCCUGAUGCAGCAAUGCCGCGUGUGUGAAGAAGGCCUUCGGGUUGUAAAGCACUUUCAGCGGGGAGGCGGUACCCGAAGAGGAAGCACCGGCUAACUCCGUGCCAGCAGCCGCGGUAAUUC
rnacentral:rRNA from 1 species